rnacentral:rRNA from 1 species
GUGUCAGCCGCCGCGGUAAGACGAACCUUGCUAACGUUAUUCGGAAUCACUGGGCUUAAAGGGUGCGUAGGCGGCGCAGCAAGUCGGGUGUGAAAUCCCCCAGCUCAACUGGGGAAUUGCGCCCGAAACUGCUGUGCUAGAGGAAUAUAGAGGUGAGCGGAACUUAGGGUGGAGCGGUGAAAUGCGUUGAUAUCCUAAGGAACACCGGUGGCGAAAGCGGCUCACUGGGUAUUCUCUGACGCUGAGGCACGAAAGCUAGGGGAGCGAACGGGAUUAGAAACCCGCGUAGUCC